rfam:Beta vulgaris subsp. vulgaris Bvchr5.sca002.con0292.1, whole genome shotgun sequence.
GUCUCUUAAGAGACAUAUGAUAAAAUUGAAACGAUACAGAAAAUAUUAGCAUGACUCCUGUGCAAGAAUGACACGCACAAAUCGAGAAUUGGUCUCUUAAUAA